UGGCAAUGAUGACCAUCUUAGGACACCUUUGGAGGCUUUGCUCCCAUGAAACAGAUCUCAAGUCUGAGCCAU